GAUGAGGGCGAUCUGGUUGUGACAUCUGUCAUCUAUUAAUCACCAUGGUUGAUUGAGCUGAUGUGGUUGGUUAGGCAGGUGUCUUCUUCCUCCAUCACCAUGUAUGUUCCUCCCAAAGCUGCACCCUCUGUUGGAGAGGAAGACCUUCCCCAAUCCAGAAGACCACUCUUUGGAUGAGGGUCAAAGAGUAAUUGCAUUCUGCUGAUAGUGUGGUAGAAAAGAAGCUAAAAGUUGAACUGAUUCACUGAAUUACUGUAAGAGUUAAUU
rnacentral:snRNA from 1 species